UUUUUUCAAACAUGAGUCUGUCACAACAUUCUUUUGAAAACCUGAAAAGUAAGUUGUUUCAAAGUGUUUUUCUUUCGACGACACCCUGUAUAAGGGGGUUGAGUAUCCUCAGGCAUGAUGCAGCCGAGGCAGUGGGCGCUCGAGCAGACUAUCUUUCACUGCUGUGCUACUUACCUACUCUUCUUCCAGUCCUCUAUCUAUUUGCUUCCAUGUAUUGCAUCAGAAUUAAAACUGCUCCCACUGCGAAUUGAACCUGCAAUCUGAGAUAUCGUAGUAUAUCAUUAUGUUAAUCACUCGGAUAUAUUGAACUUAAAUUUUUAUUUAUUUCGUAUUUUUAAUUAUAAACUUGUAACAAUACAUAUCUUAAUAACUAGGCGAUUUAUCUGCAAGACAUCCCAAUAACAAGUGACGCUAUUUUCUAGCGCGCACUAUAAGUACGUGGGGCGAAACACUGACUCCACAGAACCAAUCGUCUUGCGGGAUGCGCAUAAUACAAUAUGUUAAAAAUACAACUCGUUCCUUCUAUUUAUAUAUUAUUGUUGCUAUAUAAAAUAACCAAGUAUUUAAAUAUAUGCAACACAAGUGUGAGACAGAAUUGUUAAGUAACAAGAACUAUAAAUAUUAAAGCUGGCUUAAUACUUAAA